rnacentral:miRNA from 1 species
AGGGGCUUAGAAAGAUGGGAC